GACGAAGGGGGCUAGCGUUGCUCGGAAUCACUGGGCGUAAAGCGCACGUAGGCGGAUUGUUAAGUCAGGGGUGAAAUCCUGGAGCUCAACUCCAGAACUGCCUUUGAUACUGGCGAUCUUGGGUCCGGGAGAGGUGAGUGGAACUGCGAGUGUAGAGGUGAAAUUCGUAGAUAUUCGCAAGAACACCAGUGGCGAAGGCGGCUCACUGGCCCGGUACUGACGCUGAGGUGCGAAAGCGUGGGGAGCAAACAGG
rnacentral:rRNA from 1 species